rnacentral:rRNA from 1 species
AUUGAACGCUGGCGGCAGGCCUAACACAUGCAAGUCGAACGAGUGGCGGACGGGUGAGUAAUGUCUAGGAAACUGCCUGAUGGAGGGGGAUAACUACUGGAAACGGUAGCUAAUACCGCAUACCAUCGGAUGUGCCCAGAUGGGAUUAGCUAGUAGGUGGGGUAACGUCUCACCUAGGCGACGAUCACUAGCUGGUCUGAGAGGAUGACCAGCGAAACUGGGACUGAGACACGGUCCAGACUCCUACGGGAGGCAGCAGUGGGGAAUAUUGCACAAUGGGCGAAAGCCUGAUGCAGCCAUGCCGCGUGUAUGAAGAAGGCCUUAGGGUUGUAAAGUACUUUCAGCGGAGAGGCGUUAUCUGAAGAAGAAGCACCGGCUAACUCCGUGCCAGCAGCCGCGGUAAUUC